GAUGAACGCUGGCGGCGUGCCUAAUACAUGCAAGUCGAGCGAACAGACGAGGCGCUUGCUCCUCUCACGUUAGCCGCGCACGUGAGAAUAACACGUGUAUAACCUACCUAUAAUUCUGGGAUAACUUCGGGAAACCGGAGCUUAUACCGUAUAAUAUAUUGAAGCGCAUUGUUCAAUAGUGAAAGUCGGUGUUGCUGUGUCGUCUAGCUGGAUCCGCGCCUCAUUAGCUAGUUGUUAAGGUAACGGCUUACGAAGGCAACGAGGCGUAGCCGAACUGAGAGGGUGAUCGGCCACACUGGAACGGAGACACGGUCCAGACUCCUACGGGAGGCAGCAGUAGGGAAUGGUCCGCAAUGGGCGAAAGCCUGACGGAGCAACGCCGCGUGAGUGAUGAAGGUCUUCGGAUCGUAAAACUCUGUUAUUAGGGAAGAACAAAUGUGUAAGUAACUAUGCACGUCUUGACGGUACCUAAUCAGAAAGCCACGGCUAACUACGUG
rnacentral:rRNA from 1 species